AUUCAUCGUUCUUCGAGACAAGGUGGAUAAAAUUACUUGCUUGUGCUGGUAGUCAGAAGAGUGUGUGGUGAUCAACACAUGCAGAAAUCGUGGAAAAAGCGGAGAAGUUCAUCGGCAUGCAUGUGCACUGAUCGCACUGAUGCAGCACUCUCGUGCAUAGAAGGAGAGAAUUUCGGAAGGGGAUACCGGAAUCAUCGGCCUACGCAUUUGGAUACCAUCAACACAUUCAGCAGUGCUACAAACGUAUCUGUUUCCAGGAUAGACCGUGCAGAAAGACUUGCAAAGAAACAGCAACAUGAAAGUCAAGAUACAACAUGUUCCAGAUGGGAGCUGUGAUGGAGUCAUUGAUGCCGCCAAACAAGGAUGCCUUGCACCUGCACGUAAAGAGGGCUAACUACCAGGCAGCCAUAUACAAGCGGGCCCUGGAUGCACGUCCUGAAGUGCCUUCUAGUCUCCACACAGAAGAGGAUGGAAGGUCAUCGGCGAUGACAUCAGUAUCCACUGGAUGGAUCUUCCCCCUGCCCCAGACAGUGUCAUGGAAUUUGCCCAUGUAAAAAAGUCAAUGCACAAAAGGCCAGUGUAGCUGUCGUGAAAAAAACUGCCAUGCACAGACUUGU